rnacentral:rRNA from 1 species
AUUGAACGCUGGCGGCAUGCCUUACACAUGCAAGUCGAACGGUAACGGGCCUUCGGGUGCCGACGAGUGGCGAACGGGUGAGUAAUGUAUCGGAACGUACCUUUCAGUGGGGGAUAACGUAGCGAAAGUUACGCUAAUACCGCAUAUUCUGUGAGCAGGAAAGCAGGGGAUCGCAAGACCUUGCGCUGAUUGAGCGGCCGAUAUCAGAUUAGCUAGUUGGUGAGGUAAAGGCUCACCAAGGCGACGAUCUGUAGCGGGUCUGAGAGGAUGGUGCGCAGCACUGGAACUGGGACACGGGCCAGACUCCCACGGGAGGCAGCAGUGGGGAAUUUUGGACAAUGGGGGCAACCAUGCUCCAGCCAUGCCGCGUGAGGGAAGAAGGCCUUCGGGUUGUAAAGCUCUUUCGGCCGGGAAGAAAUCGUAUGGGUUAAUACCCUGUGCGGAUGACGGUACCGGCAUAAGAAGCACCGGCUAACUACGUGCCAGCAGCCGCCGUAA